rnacentral:rRNA from 1 species
AUUGAACGCUGGCGGCAUGCUUUACACAUGCAAGUCGAACGGUAACAGGCCGCAAGGUGCUGACGAGUGGCGAACGGGUGAGUAAUGCAUCGGAACGUGCCCAGUCGUGGGGGAUAACUACUCGAAAGAGUAGCUAAUACCGCAUACGAUCUAUGGAUGAAAGCGGGGGACCGUAAGGCCUCGCGCGAUUGGAGCGGCCGAUGUCAGAUUAGGUAGUUGGUGGGGUAAAGGCUCACCAAGCCAACGAUCUGUAGCUGGUCUGAGAGGACGACCAGCCACACUGGGACUGAGACACGGCCCAGACUCCUACGGGAGGCAGCAGUGGGGAAUUUUGGACAAUGGGCGCAAGCCUGAUCCAGCAAUGCCGCGUGCAGGAAGAAGGCCUUCGGGUUGUAAACUGCUUUUGUACGGAACGAAACGGCUCUGGUUAAUACCCGGGGCUAAUGACGGUACCGUAAGAAUAAGCACCGGCUAAUUACGUG